UACGUAGGUGGCAAGCGUUGUCCGGAUUUACUGGGUGUAAAGGGCGUGCAGCCGGAGAGACAAGUCAGGUGUGAAAUCCACGGGCUCAACUCGUGAACUGCAUUUGAAACUGUUUCCCUUGAGUGUCGGAGAGGUAAUCGGAAUUCCUUGUGUAGCGGUGAAAUGCGUAGAUAUAAGGAAGAACACCAGUGGCGAAGGCGGAUUACUGGACGAUAACUGACGGUGAGGCGCGAAAGCGUGGGGAGCAAACAGG
rnacentral:rRNA from 1 species